rnacentral:antisense_RNA from 1 species
UUUCGCGUUGGGUUUACGCGCCAUAAUGCCGUUUCCGACAGCAUGCAGCAGGUGAGUUUUACCCAGACCCGUGCCGCCAUA